rnacentral:rRNA from 1 species
UCGACGGUGAAGAGGAGCUUGCUUCUUGGAUCAGUGGCGAACGGGUGAGUAACACGUGAGUAACCUGCCCUUGACUCUGGGAUAACUGCUAGAAAUGGUAGCUAAUACCGGAUACGACCCUCGGCCGCAUGGUCAGGGGGUGGGAAGAAUUUUGGUCAAGGAUGGACUCGCGGCCUAUCAGGUAGUUGGUGAGGUAAUGGCUCACCAAGCCUACGACGGGUAGCCGGCCUGAGAGGGUGACCGGCCACACUGGGACUGAGACACGGCCCAGACUCCUACGGGAGGCAGCAGUGGGGAAUAUUGCACAAUGGGCGAAAGCCUGAUGCAGCAACGCCGCGUGAGGGACGACGGCCUUCGGGUUGUAAACCUCUUUUAGUAGGGAAGAAGCGAAAGUGACGGUACCUGCAGAAAAAGCACCGGCUAACUACGUGCCAGCAGCCGCGGUAAUACGUAGGGUGCAAGCGUUGUCCGGAAUUAUUGGGCGUAAAGAGCUCGUAGGCGGUUUGUCGCGUCUGCUGUGAAAUCCGGAGGCUCAACCUCCGGCCUGCAGUGGGUACGGGCAGACUAGAGUGCGGUAGGGGAGAUUGGAAUUCCUGGUGUAGCGGUGGAAUGCGCAGAUAUCAGGAGGAACACCAAUGGCGAAGGCAGAUCUCUGGGCCGUAACUGACGCUGAGGAGCGAAAGCAUGGGGAGCGAACAGG